rnacentral:lncRNA from 1 species
CUGGACAAUCAACAUGUGGCACGUGCGCAGACUGAGACUCGUGCUGCUGGGGCUCGUCGGGCUGUUGGGACCGUAGGGACUGAUCGGAAGAAGAUCCCACGGAUGUGUGCUGAAACUCAACAUCUCUGAAUCAUUUUUCUCGCGGCAUGUUGUUACUCAGUAUGCACAAAAAGAAGCAAUAUUAGUUAAAUAAUAAAUAAAAUCUAAAUGAAUUGCAAUAGAAUAUGUCUGUUUCACUCAUCUCUGAAAACUUUUAUUAACUUCCCCUCUCACUGAACUUUCUCAAGUAAAUGCUAGUAAUCUUGUUUUGAAGUUAUGCAUAUAAAUGGCAGCAUAGAUCAUUUUGGUCACUAAAAUGCUUGUAAAUCACAAUUUCAGAUGUUUACUGUGGCAUCCCCCCUAAAAUAUGCAUUUAAAUAAUAUGGCUUUUCCAUCUGUCCUCAGAACUAAAAUAUGCAUUUAGAUAAUAUGGCUUUCCCUCUGAACCGCUAACUGAGGACUCCAUAAAAAUUAGCAACAUCUGCUAUUUCAAGAGAUAAGUGUUGAUCAGUUGGUCACAGUUCAAUUUUACACUGCAGAAAUCCACUUCCCAACUUAUAUGUUUAAAUAUGAGCUCCUGAAUUACCAGUCUGAUUCCAGAUUGAACACCAGCCUCUACCUCUCCUUCCCAACUUACUAUGAACUUCCAAUCAACUUUCAUGUUCACAAAAUUAGUCAAUGAACUUCGCAGCCAUAGCUUGGUGGUUGAUAUCCCACCUGUACGGCAAACACCAGUUACAAAAGAAAACAAUAUAAUCUUCUAUUCUCCCACAUUAAGUUUGGAAAAACUCUUGAUCAAAUCUGCAUUAAACAUGGUUAUGUGACAAAAAG